CCUACGGGGGGCUGCAGUCGAGAAUCUUCCGCAAUGGACGAAAGUCUGACGGAGCGACGCCGCGUGCGGGAUGAAGGCCCUUGGGUUGUAAACCGCUUUCGGAGGGGAUGAAAUCCUCGAGGGUACUCCCUCGAGGUUGACAGAGCCUCAAAAGAAGCACGGGCUAAGUACGUGCCAGCAGCCGCGGUAACACGUACUGUGCGAACGUUAUUCGGAAUCACUGGGCUUAAAGGGUGCGUAGGCGGCGAUUCAAGUCAGAUGUGAAAUGCCUGAGCUCAACUGAGGCAUUGCGUUUGAAACUGAUUCGCUAGAGUAUUUCAGGGGUGUGCGGAACUGCCAGUGGAGCGGUGAAAUGUGUUGAUAUUGGCAGGAACACCGGAGGCGAAAGCGGCACACUGGGGAAUUACUGACGCUGAGGCACGAAAGCUAGGGGAGCGAACGGGCUUAGAUACCCGAGUAGUC
rnacentral:rRNA from 1 species